rnacentral:rRNA from 1 species
GACGAACGCUGGCGGCGUGCCUAAUACAUGCAAGUAGAACGCUGAAGAGAGGAGCUUGCUCUUCUUGGAUGAGUUGCGAACGGGUGAGUAACGCGUAGGUAACCUGCCUUGUAGCGGGGGAUAACUAUUGGAAACGAUAGCUAAUACCGCAUAACAAUGGAUGACACAUGUCAUUUAUUUGAAAGGGGCAAUUGCUCCACUACAAGAUGGACCUGCGUUGUAUUAGCUAGUAGGUGAGGUAACGGCUCACCUAGGCGACGAUACAUAGCCGACCUGAGAGGGUGAUCGGCCACACUGGGACUGAGACACGGCCCAGACUCCUACGGGAGGCAGCAGUAGGGAAUCUUCGGCAAUGGGGGCAACCCUGACCGAGCAACGCCGCGUGAGUGAAGAAGGUUUUCGGAUCGUAAAGCUCUGUUGUAAGUCAAGAACGAGUGUGAGAGUGGAAAGUUCACACUGUGACGGUAGCUUACCAGAAAGGGACGGCUAACUACGUGCCAGCAGCCGCGGUAAUACGUAGGUCCCGAGCGUUGUCCGGAUUUAUUGGGCGUAAAGCGAGCGCAGGCGGUUUGAUAAGUCUGAAGUUAAAGGCUGUGGCUCAACCAUAGUUCGCUUUGGAAACUGUCAAACUUGAGUGCAGAAGGGGAGAGUGGAAUUCCAUGUGUAGCGGUGAAAUGCGUAGAUAUAUGGAGGAACACCGGUGGCGAAAGCGGCUCUCUGGUCUGUAACUGACGCUGAGGCUCGAAAGCGUGGGGAGCGAACAGGAUUAGAUACCCUGGUAGUCCACGCCGUAAACGAUGAGUGCUAGGUGUUGGAUCCUUUCCGGGAUUCAGUGCCGCAGCUAACGCAUUAAGCACUCCGCCUGGGGAGUACGACCGCAAGGUUGAAACUCAAAGGAAUUGACGGGGGCCCGCACAAGCGGUGGAGCAUGUGGUUUAAUUCGAAGCAACGCGAAGAACCUUACCAGGUCUUGACAUCCCGAUGCUAUUUCUAGAGAUAGAAAGUUACUUCGGUACAUCGGUGACAGGUGGUGCAUGGUUGUCGUCAGCUCGUGUCGUGAGAUGUUGGGUUAAGUCCCGCAACGAGCGCAACCCCUAUUGUUAGUUGCCAUCAUUCAGUUGGGCACUCUAGCGAGACUGCCGGUAAUAAACCGGAGGAAGGUGGGGAUGACGUCAAAUCAUCAUGCCCCUUAUGACCUGGGCUACACACGUGCUACAAUGGUUGGCACAACGAGUUGCGAGUCGGUGACGGCAAGCUAAUCUCUUAAAGCCAAUCUCAGUUCGGAUUGUAGGCUGCAACUCGCCUACAUGAAGUCGGAAUCGCUAGUAAUCGCGGAUCAGCACGCCGCGGUGAAUACGUUCCCGGGCCU